rnacentral:snoRNA from 1 species
AGUCUUUGUAUAGCCCAUUUGCUUUUGAGAACUAAUGAAUGUGGUGUGAAAACAGACAUAAGUAAACGUCUUGCAGUCUUUUCCUGGCCUUGUACUGGAUAUAUUUGGUGCAGGAACUGCAUAGUAACAACU